rnacentral:rRNA from 1 species
UGGGGAAUAUUGCACAAUGGGCGCAAGCCUGAUGCAGCAAUGCCGCGUGUGUGAAGAAGGCCUGCGGGUUGUAAAGCACUUUCAGUAAGGAGGAAAACUUACAGGUUAAUACCCUGUGAGCUUGACGUUACUUACAGAAGAAGCACCGGCUAACUCCGUGCCAGCAGCCGCGGUAAUACGGAGGGUGCGAGCGUUAAUCGGAAUUACUGGGCGUAAAGCGCGCGUAGGCGGCUUGGUAAGUCGGUUGUGAAAGCCCUGGGCUUAACCUGGGAAUUGCAUCCGAUACUGCCUGGCUAGAGUAUGGUAGAGGGUAGUGGAAUUCCUGGUGUAGCGGUGAAAUGCGUAGAUAUCAGGAGGAACAUCAGUGGCGAAGGCGGCUACCUGGACCAAUACUGACGCUGAGGUGCGAAAGCGUGGGGAGCAAACAGGAUUAGAUACCCGCGUAGUCC